rnacentral:rRNA from 1 species
UACAGAGGUCCCAAGCGUUGCUCGGAUUCAUUGGGCGUAAAGGGUGCGUAGGCGGCGUGGUAAGUCGGGUGUGAAAUCUUGGAGCUUAACUCCGAAACUGCAUUCGAUACUGCCGUGCUUGAGGACUGGAGAGGAGACUGGAAUUUACGGUGUAGCGGUGAAAUGCGUAGAUAUCGUAAGGAAGACCAGUGGCGAAGGCGGGUCUCUGGACAGUUCCUGACGCUGAGGCACGAAGGCCAGGGGAGCAAACGGG